AUUGAACGCUGGCGGCAGGCUUAACACAUGCAAGUCGAGCGGGGACUUCGGUCCUAGCGGCGAACGGGUGAGGAAUGCUUGGGAAUCUGCCCAGUAGCGGGGGAUAACGUUUCGAAAGGAACGCUAAUACCGCAUACGCCCUACGGGGGAAAGGGGGGGAUCUUCGGACCUCUCACUAUUGGAUGAGCCCAAGUCGGAGUAGCUAGUUGGUGGGGUAAAGGCCUACCAAGGCGACGAUCCGUAGCUGGUCUGAGAGGAUGAUCAGCCACACUGGAACUGAGACACGUACCAGACACCUACGGGAGGCAGCAGUGGGGAAUAUUGGACAAUGGGCGAAAGCCUGAUCCAGCCAUGCCGCGUGUGCGAAGAAGGCCUUCGGGUUGUAAAGCACUUUAAGCGAGGAGGAAUGGCUCUUGGUUAAUAACCUUGAGCAGUGACGUUACUCGCAGAAUAAGCACCGGCUAACUCUGUGCCAGCCGCCGCGGUAAGAC
rnacentral:rRNA from 1 species